UGGAGUCACAAUGUUAUUCUCUAAAAUUUACAGUGCCUGGAACCUUUAGAUAUCAAACUGCAGUUUGUUUUCUACAAACAUAAAUCACCAUAUGUCUAUGGUUUAUGAUAUAUAUCACCAUAUAUAUCACCACUGCAGCUUGAUAUCUAAAAGCUAAGUGUUCCAGACACUGUAAAUUUUAGAGAAUAGCAUUGUGACUCCUG